AGGCACUAGAUCUGGAAGUAGGUACAGAAAUCAUCUAGAGGAUGACCACAAGUAACUCCUGUGUGCAUUCACCUCACGCAUCUGUCCCACUUCGGAUGAUGUCCCAUGCACAUCUCGAUGCUCUUUUCCUUGGAGUUCUGCCAUUGCUGCCAAAAGAAUUCUUCUCCCCCUAGAUCUUCCAUCACUGAUAUCUGCUGCUUCUACCCUUAAGUGGGAAGGCCCAAGGAUGGCUUCCAUCAGCUUUGCAUCAAUAGGGGCUUCCUGCCACAGUGGUAACUUGGCUGGCAAUUUGUGGCUGGAAUCCAAUGUAUUAAGUGCCAUAAGCCCACCCAGGAGCCUUCAGAACCUCCUAUAAUUAACUGUUGCUGCUGUAAAUUUAGACAAACCCAGGAAAUCACAUGCAAAAUUCUGUCUGAUUUGCUAUCUAAUCACCUUCUAUCUAGGUUCUUAUACCACACACAUUGCUGUGGUAUCUGAGCAUCUUGGUGCCUGGAUGCAAGUCAGAUAAACCCUUUUCAAGCUAGCUAAGCUGCAGUCCUGACACUUCUACACUGUUCUGCAGCCAACUUUUGCUACGAGCAAACUGCAAAGAAGCUUCUUCAAAGAUUCGCUGAACGUACCAGCUUCUCCUGUCUUCCUUUCCCAGUUAAUGUAAGGUUGGGAAAUUUGCCAAGCAUCAUGCUAAACUGAAAGAGACAUUCAAAUUUCAGUGAGUGCAUGAGCCAAGGGAGCCCAGCCUGCCAGAAUGUUAUUGUAGUGUUCUUAAGAAGUUCUCGGCAUUAAGACUUCAUUUUGUUGUGUGCCUGUCUGUCUGGUUAGGAGAUGCUCCACUGGAGACCAGAAAGUCAUUGCUUCCUCAAUAUUAAAUACAAGUGUCUCAGUCAGCUACAAACCAUUUGUUAGCUUCAAACUUUUGAGUCAGUUUUGUUUCUUUUUCUUUUAAGAUUGGAGGUGUCUGAUCCUGCGGUUACCGUCACUUGAAACAAAACUUCGGCUUUCAAGAAGAUUUUAGAUAUACCCUUUUCUGAUGACCGUACAAUCGAAGCGUGCACACAGACAGGGACCAGCAGACAAAAACGUGAUGAAAAGAAGCUGUAUUAUUUCUGGAUGAGAAAUAAUAGAUAUGGGUUUGAUUGAUUUAAGAACAAGUAAGGGAAGAGGAAAGUUCAGAACUUAUCUACACUUUUAACAGUAAAGAAGCAAUCUUCCCCCCAGGAGGAACCAUUUAUACUGAUAUCAAAGUGUAUUCUGACUCAUUAACUGAAAUACGUUGUGCUGGUGGGAGACAGUUAUAUCAGCAAGAUUUUGUCUACAGAAGGGUUUGCACCAGUAUAACUUAUAUCCAUAAAAAAAGUCAGAUGCAUCAGCACAGUAGAGUGCAAGCCAAGAAUGAAGAAGCAGGGAAAAUUUGCAGACCAAUGUUUUGGGCUAUUUUACAUAUCUGUGUUGUAAAGGUUUCUGUAUGUCCAUAAUAAGAGCAGUUAAAAUACAAAGAUCCUCAACCUCAAUCUACAGCAACCCAAGCAUCAAGAAACUAAAAGAAAACCAAAGCACCUUCCUUUUUUAGGCCAUUUACUCCCAUAGCUUUAGCCAUAGAGUUGGGGGGAGGGGGUGAGGGAAAGAAGCUGAACUGAGCUGGUAAUCACAGCAUUAGGUUGAUUUGACUAUAAGAAAACUUUAAUUUCAAUGUUCCCCACGGGGUUUCUGGUAUUUAUUUCCUUAUUUACUUCUUGAGCCUAUUUAAUACUUUGACCUUAAGGAAGAAGAAUUUGUACAAGCAAGAAGAUUAAAGGUUCAAAUUAGUUAAAGAUGAAACAAAUCUAUUGAUUCAUUAAAGGCCAGUGUUCUCAGUGUCGCCAGUGAUACUAUCAUGUAUUAAACUGUUAAUAUGCUUGAAGAAAAAAGACAUUUUCAGCACAGGUUAUAGAUGGCUUUUGAUUGGAAAAAAAUACACUGCUGCUUUGCAUCCUUUUUGCCUAAUGUUUUCUGUCCCAUCCAAAUGGCCUUUCUACAUAUGUAAGAACCAUGCAAGGGUCAGUGAGUCUCUUCUCAUGCCUACCUGACCCUCUAUGUUGGUUCCAGUCUAAUUUUGCCAUCUGUGUUCACUCCAAAAUUGUACCUCUGAACUUGCACUUCUUUCACAUAUGCUUUGUUCAUGUACUCGCUUUCCUUCUGGUGCGUGUUUCUUCAGCCAUUUCUUGUGUGAUUCCUUCUUCCUCUGGCUGCUUAACCUUGCUUCCUUCAUUACUUCUCUUUCCACUAUUCACUUUCAGGCAUUCAGUGCUGCCUUGCAGUUUCCACAAAGCAUUUGUCCCUACACAAGUUAUGCCUUUUCUUGAUGGUAUAUUGCUUAUUCCUAUGAAGCAGAAGUUAGUGGAGACAAACACGUGAUUGUCAUCGUGCCAGCUAAUCAUGCUAGAGCCAUGGCCCCAGCAGGUUUUAACUGCAGCUGGCUGCCACAACGCUGAGUGUAGCCUAGGUGGAUGCAAUUGCCAAGUCACCACAGGCAUUGUGCCAAAGGGACUCUUCAAGGUUGUGCUGUGACACAGCAGUAACCUGCAGUGAAGACUGGCCCUGCCUAGUACUCGGCGAUAGCCCAAGACCCAGUUUGUGUCUUUGAAUAAACCCAAGUCGAGGUGGUGUUCCUCUAGAAGCAAGCAGGGGUCAAGUAGCAAUGUUUAAAACAAGGUUUAUUCCAACACCAGUUGUGUCAGGUUUGCUGUGAAGCUGACACAAAACCAGGCUCAGAAAGCAGGGAUACGUGGGCACUGCACAGCUGUAGACCUGCAUGCAGAAACCUCCUAUGUGGAAGGUGUGGCACACCUGUAUGAAUUAUCAAGGAGCUGGUAGUGGCUGAGCCAUAUGAGAAGUUCUCUGAAGGCUUUCAUGCUCCCAGGAGGAGGAGCAGCUCAUAAAGCUGUGUUUAUUACUUCACCUCUGGCCAAUUUUUAAGAGUAGAUUUAAGAGGAGGAAGAUGAAGUUGCUCUUUGUUGAAUUUUUUACAUGUUAAAAUACAUACUUAUGUCACAGAGGUUAAAGAAAACAAAAGGAGCAUCACCUUGAAGAGGUGAAAGUUUGAUCCCUGAACUGCCAUACCGAAUUAGGUUUCUGGUACACCUAAGUGUUAGUACUCAGUGAGUUAGCAACCAUCAGUUUGUGAUUAAUACCCUAAUUAAGAGCAGUUUCUUCCUUCCGUCUCCAAUUUUUCCAAGAUAGUGUUGCGCCAAGUGUUAAGAAAAUUGCUCUUCUAAUUUGUGUGCCUUCUCAUCUAUUUGGCCAAGCUUAGGGGAGUAGCCCAAGUCCCCAUUACCACAAUUCUGUUAACAAUUCUUUUGAGUUCAACAAUGCUCAUUCUGUUUCCUUUUCUUAAGCUGGAUAUUAGCAACAAAGACCUGCUAAUGUCUUUACUUUUCAAAAGUUGUAAAAAUGCUUUGGAAUUUCUAGUUUAGCAUUUAUUUAUUUGUCUUCAGAGAUUCAGUUGCAUAGCCCUUCCCACUUACAAUUCAGUUAAAUAAUGUUCAUGUUACCCUUCUAUACAGCUGUAUUUCCUCUGCCUCCGUGGCCCAGUCUUUCUUUCUUGAACAGUUUGUAGGUGGAUAAUGAUGUUGUUCCACUACGUUUCCCUACCACCCAUUGCUAUUAAAAUCAUCCUCCACGGCAAAAUACUCUGAUUGAUUUUUGCUUUUAAGGUUGUUACAUUUGUCUAAAUAGUUAAUUCUAUUCAACUCCUUUUUCUGAUACCUUCCCAGUUUUCCUGAAUUCCCUUUUAUACAUUUACCAAAAUUAUGACUCUCCAAUGGUUGCAAUUGGCAUCAUGUUCUCUGAAUUCACAAGAUGCAGCCAUAUAUACAGAUGUCUUUAAUAGACAUAUCUGACUAAUAUGUUCCCCAGACGCUCAUAACUUCUGGCUUAUUUGCAGGAUCUACUUCUGUUCUGGUCCUCUCCAUUUUCUAGGCUCUCCUUUACUCAGUUACUCUAUCUAACAAACUAAAACACCUUCUUGAACAGUCUGUUCUGGCCACACUGAGAACUGGCACAGAUCUCACUGCUUCAUCAGACUUGCAUAUGAAACUGGGAACGGCUGAGUCAAAGCCAUUUGCCCUGUCUUGGACCAGAGUUUUCUGUCUAGCCAAAUGAUGUUACUUCCCAGACAGUUUCUCUUACUUACUGGUAAGAAAAGCUCAUCCAGUGCCUCAUGAUAUCCAUUCUUUUGUCUGAAAUUAAGAAGCUUGCUGAGCUCGUGUUCGUCAUGACCGUGUUCCUAGGGACAGCUGGGGGUGUUAGUCUCACCAGGCUCAUUCUGACCAUCUCUGAUGGCAAAAGUCAUCUUUAGUUGCAAAGAGUUGCACUGUCUGCCAGAGAAGGACGAUCUGACCCUCCACUCUGCAGCCAUCGGGAGACUGGCUUCUUAAAGCAAAGCCUUGGCCAGCACGUGUCUGAAAGCCACCCUUCCCCUCCCAGAUGACCUUUCAGCUUCUGAGCUUCCUCAAUUUGUCACAGCCAUUUGUGGGGCUUCAGAACAUUUGAAAGUAAAGAAGCAGAAGCUGUGUCAGAUCAAUGGUCCUUAAGGAAUCAGAGUAGAGCAAUAAGACUCUAAGAAUACAGAAAACUUUUCAGUAGGGAGAGCACUGGAACAAGCCAUUUGGGAAUGUAGCCAUUUAACUGAACAAGGAGUCAAUGAGUGACAGACAGGGAGAGAGAACGUGCAGAUGGAGAUUUAGCACUCCCGGUCCUCAUCAUGCAAGAAAUAGAGGGAUUUCAAUAACAUAAGGAAGCACAGGAAAUUCAAAGCUGUGCAGCAUCUGUGGGAGGAGGUAACAAAGUUCUUGUCUGGGGCCCAUGGAGAAGUGUUCCUGGAAGCCUACUGUUGAAUGAAGUACCAUUUUGAGCUAAGGGAGGCACUAUUUGACAGAACAAAAGAUACCUCUCCACACCUGUCAAGUUCAAGAAUAUCUGGAAGUACCGAAAAUUGGAAUCACCCCACAGCCAUUCUGGGAUCUGCUCUGCACGGCCAGAGAUGCCACCGACAGCUUUUAGAUAGGAGGAAGCCGAGGCUAAAGAGCAAAGAAUAUUUCUCGCCCUACAUUGUUCUUGAAGACUAUUUCUGGCACACAGGAAGGUCUCACAAAAUCACCAUCAAACUUAUUUUAGCUAAUUCCAUACGUGACUUGAAGUACUCCAGAGGUGUGUGUCAAGCCUCAGAGAACUGAUGGCAAGUUUCACUCCCUCGUUAGACAUAGAAAUAAAUGUAUGACACUCUAGGGGUUGCCUGGAAGUGCUUUUCUUAUAAACAGAGGGGAAAACAGCCUUCAAAUGAUACACGAGAAAAUUAACAGGAGUGUGUCCAAAUAUUGUACUCUAAAAUGAACACUUUGAUAAUCAUAACAAUGUGGUUUGAAAAGCAUCACUUUAAAAGGUCAGCUAUACCACCCCCUGACUGCACAUUGAAAGCAUAGCGGAUAUAUUGAGUCAUACAUAUUGUUCAUUGUCAUUUGCAUUUGGUGAAAUCCCUGUAUUUUACCCAAUUUAGUAAGCAAGCACCGCCUCGGACUCCCUUGGCAAUACUUCUAAAUGCAGUUACUGUUUGUUGGGCUAAAACAACAUCUUGUCCCAUCCUGCACCAGUAAAUCACUCUUCGGUCUUUUGAUCAAUGUUUGCCUUUUCAAGCCUGUGAGUCAUUUUGCAAUAAUGGAAAGAGAGGGACUGACACACGAGAGCAAUGUGGGUAUUUUGAGCUGCAUCUCUGGGAUACUUUUGUGCAUGUUGUUCUGAACAAAACGACCAUCUGUACCGGUUUGCUGACAGCCACUAGUGCAUCAAAAGAUCUGACUUCCUAUCUUUGUGGAUAAAGACUGGCUUAAUUCUACAAGCACCACGUAGAGUUGUCGGGCGACGUCAUGAAAAGGCCUUACUGAAGUCAAGCACAUUUUUUGCAACCAGCCUUUUUUAAAAAAUCGUCCUCAGGAUCUGACCUCAUGGCAUUUUUCCAUAAUUCUUUGCACAUCACCUGUCACUGGUUUGGGACUGUUCAACUUCCCAACAGUCAUGUCAGUGAUGUUUCCAACCAGAAUACGGCGGAAGCUGUCCUCACCCUUCCGGGGGCUACACCUGAAGAGUAAGCAAAUUUUGUGGGUGUUUAAGCCUUUUUUAAUUUUCUAUGAGCAAUGUAAAAAUGACUCAUUCCUGCUUUGGCUGGAAUAUGUAAUUAGUAAACACUGGUGGGGAGCAAUCAUAUUUCUAAAUUUGUAAGCAUAAACAGUGCAUGAUGCACCAA